AGCCAUGCAAUGUACACAUAGCGAACUAUUCUUUCGCCUUUUACUAAAGAAUACCGUGUGUACGUAGCUAUAUGUGGCAUACGCUUAUUUUUGAAUUGGCCAUCUUCUUGAGAUGGCCU